GUGGAAAAAGCUUCAUUUAAUUAUUAUUAUGAAUAGAAGAAUCCAUUAAUCAUUGUGUGUGUUUGGACAACCAUUGUUGAUUGCUCACUAUUCUUCAUGUGCAUUCAGAAUGUCAAUAUUGAGUUUCUGGGAUACAGUUUAGGAAUGUACACAUGGUAUACCUUUUUUUAAUUAUCUUGGAAACCGUUAAGGUUCACAAGGAAAGAGUAUUGAACAUGUGUACUCCAUUUUCCUCUAUAACUUGUUUGAAACAUUGUUCAUUUUGAUAACUACUUGCUCUAAGUUAUGCCUGAGAUGUGCGCAGAAACACAUAAGGUUGUCAUGUGAAGUCUCCAUUAUUUUUGUCCAAUUUAAACCAAAAUUUGCAGUAUAUUGACAUAUUUUCAUAAAAUGCACCAAUAUCAGAUUUCAUGAAAAUCCAUUCAGCACUUCUGGAGUUGUAUUCAUACAGGCGGACUGAUGAAGCAAACUUAACAGGCAUUCUGCAGGAUUACAGAUAUGCCUAGAAAGGCAUUCAACAUUCAUAUAACCACAUAUGAAAUAUUGUCUAUGUCACACCUCAGGUUGUUAGAUGCUGGCUUCUUACCACAGAGGCCUGGUUUCUGUCUUAGAGCAGUCCAAAUGGAGUUUAUGGCUGUCAAAGUGACACUUGUUAGGUUAUCUGCAAUUAUUUUAAUUUCCACUGAUGCUCCUUACUUGCUUUUUCUUUGCCAGUGUGCAUUCAUCUAAUGCUCCAUUACUCAUUUAUCACUGCCGCUGAGGUGUUCAGUAGGUCUGAUCAGUGAACAUAAACUAUUUCCACCAUUUCUCAUUUGGGAUUCACCUCUGACACAGCACCUGGCUGGACUCAGAGCAAAAAAGUUAACUUCUUAAGUUGAAAAUGGAGCAUCGAUUAUCUGAAUCCCAGCCAUCCGAACACACAUAACAUCACUCACCCCGGAGUGCAUUCAGCUGCAGCGUAG